rnacentral:rRNA from 1 species
UACAGAGGGGGCAAGCGUUAUUCGGAAUUAUUGGGCGUAAAGGGCGCGUAGGCGGCUUGGCAAGUGGAUGGUGAAAUCCCUCGGCUUAACCGAGGAACUGCCGUCCAAACUGCUUCGCUUGAGACCGGGAGAGGUGAGUGGAAUUCCCAGUGUAGCGGUGAAAUGCGCAGAUAUCGGGAGGAACACCAGUGGCGAAGGCGGCUUCCUGGCCUGUUCUUGACGCUGAGGCGCGAAAGCUAGGGGAGCAAACGGG